rnacentral:pre_miRNA from 1 species
AGUGGAAUAGUUGGGCCAAAUGGUGGUUCCAUUCCAAGUUUUUUAAGGAAUUUCCAUACUGCUUUCCAUAGUGGUUGCACCAGUUUGCAAUGCCACCAGCAAU